rnacentral:rRNA from 1 species
AUUGAACGCUGGCGGCAUGCCUUACACAUGCAAGUCGAACGGCAGCACGGGAGCAAUCCUGGUGGCGAGUGGCGAACGGGUGAGUAAUGUAUCGGAACGUGCCCAGUCGUGGGGGAUAACGUAGGGAAACUUACGCUAAUACCGCAUACGACCGAGAGGUGAAAGUGGGGGACCUUCGGCCCUCACGCGAUUGGAUGAGCCGAUGCCGGAUUAGCUAGUUGGGGGGGUAAAGGCCAACCAAGGGGACGAGCCGUAGCUGGUCUGAGAGGAUGAUCAGCCACAUUGGGACUGAGACACGGCCCAAACUCCUACGGGAGGCAGCAGUGGGGAAUAUUGGACAAUGGGCGCAAGCCUGAUCCAGCCAUGCCGCGUGUGUGAAGAAGGCCUUCGGGUUGUAAAGCACUUUUGUUCGGGAAGAAAUCGUGCGGAUUAAUACUUCGUACGGAUGACGGUACCGAAAGAAUAAGCACCGGCUAACUUCGUGCCAGCAGCCGCAGUAA